rnacentral:rRNA from 1 species
GCAAGUCGAGCGGUAACAUUUCUAGCUUGCUAGAAGAUGACGAGCGGCGGACGGGUGAGUAAUGCUUGGGAAUAUGCCUUAUGGUGGGGGACAACAGUUGGAAACGACUGCUAAUACCGCAUAACGUCUACGGACCAAAGGGGGGGAUCUUCGGACCUCACGCCAAAAGAUUAGCCCAAGUGGGAUUAGCUAGUUGGUGAGGUAAUGGCUCACCAAGGCGACGAUCUCUAGCUGGUUUGAGAGGAUGAUC